AUGAUGAACAUUCAUAAAAGCCACUGGACUUUCUGUAGGAAGUAUGGCAAGCACCAAUCCCACAAAGUGACACAGUGCAAGAAGGGCAAGGAUUCUCUGUAUGCCCAGGGAAAGCAGUGUUAUGACAGGAAGCAGAGUGGCUAUGAUGGGCAGACUAAGCUGAUUUUCCAGAAAAGGCUAAACCACAAAGAAGAUUGUGCUGAGACAAGAGUGUAUUGAGUCCAACUGCAGAUCUCAGCGAAUGCUGGCUAUUAAAGAGAACUGGAAGGAGCUAAAACAAGAAAGGGCCAAGUGAUUCAGUUCUGA
rnacentral:lncRNA from 1 species